rnacentral:rRNA from 1 species
UACGUAGGGUGCAAGCGUUGUCCGGAAUUAUUGGGCGUAAAGAGCUCGUAGGCGGUUUGUCGCGUCUGCUGUGAAAACUCGGGGCUCAACUCCGAGCUUGCAGUGGGUACGGGCGGGCUAGAGUUCGGUAGGGGAGACUGGAAUUCCUGGUGUAGCGGUGAAAUGCGCAGAUAUCAGGAGGAACACCGGUGGCGAAGGCGGCCCACUGGUCCGGUACUGACGCUGAGGUGCGAAAGCGUGGGAGCAAACAGG